rnacentral:rRNA from 1 species
AUUGAACGCUGGCGGCAGGCCUAACACAUGCAAGUCGAGCGGAUGAGGGAAGCUUGCUUCCCGAUUUAGCGGCGGACGGGUGAGUAAUGCCUAGGAAUCUGCCUAUUAGUGGGGGAUAACGUUCCGAAAGGAACGCUAAUACCGCAUACGUCCUACGGGAGAAAGUGGGGGAUCUUCGGACCUCACGCUAAUAGAUGAGCCUAGGUCGGAUUAGCUAGUUGGUGAGGUAACGUCUCACCAAGGCGACGAUCCGUAGCUGGUCUGAGAGGAUGAUCAGCCACACUGGAACUGAGACACGGUCCAGACUCCUACGGGAGGCAGCAGUGGGGAAUAUUGGACAAUGGGCGAAAGCCUGAUCCAGCCAUGCCGCGUGUGUGAAGAAGGUCUUCGGAUUGUAAAGCACUUUAAGUUGGGAGGAAGAGUUGUAAGCUAAUAUCUUGCAGCUUUGACGUUACCAACAGAAUAAGCACCGGCUAACUCUGUGCCAGCCGCCGCGGUAAUAC